rnacentral:rRNA from 1 species
GGCUAACGCUGGCGGCGUGUCUUAGCCAUGCAAGUCGAGCGGACUUAUGGGGUAACUUAUAAGUCAGCGGCGGACGGCGGAGUAACACGUAGCUAACCUACCCUCUGGACGGGGAUAACCUACCGAAAGGUGGGCUAAUACCCGAUGUAGUCAUCCUGUAUAGGGGUGAUGAAAGGUGGGCUUCUGUUUAUAAGCUCAUGCUGGAGGAGGGGGCUGCGGCCUAUCAGGUAGUUGGUAGGGUAAUAGCCUACCAAGCCGAUGACGGGUAGCCGGCCUGAGAGGGUGACCGGCCCGAGGGGCACUGAGAUACGGGUCCCACUCCUACGGGAGGCAGCAGGCUAGAAAUUUGGGCAAUGGGGGAAACCCUGACCCAGUGACGCCGCGUGCAGGAAGGAGCCCUUCGGGGUGUAAACUGCUGUCGUGUAGGGAGAAGGGUACUAAGGUGAACAAUCUUAGUACUUGACGGUACUACAGGAGGAAGCCCAGGCUAACCUCGUG